rnacentral:rRNA from 1 species
CUCGGCAACGGAUAUCUCGGCUCUCGCAUCGAUGAAGAACGUAGCGAAAUGCGAUACUUGGUGUGAAUUGCAGAAUCCCGUGAACCAUCGAGUCUUUGAACGCAAGUUGCGCCCGAAGCCAUUCGGCCGAGGGCACGUCUGCCUGGGUGUCACGC